GAGCCACCAGGUUGUAUUUCAUGUGGAUGUAGGUAUUACGUGCUGUAUGUAGCAACAUGACGUCUUGAUUAGAUUCUUGUAUUUUCAGUCCAUGAGAAGA